rnacentral:sRNA from 10 species
GAGUUGGUCUUUAUUUAUUUUGGUUACUCCAAGGCCAUCCUUUCUGUUCUUUCGAGUUUGCGUCCUUCAUUUUUUGCUUUUGUGGCCUAAACUUAGAGGAGGCUCUAGCCAACGAUGUAUGUUCUGUCCUUCAAAGAGAACAUCAUAACAGAGCUGCAGAGUUUGUGGUCAAGGAUGUCUAAUUAAUUCAGGCAAAGCAUUUUGAAUUUGAUGUUCCAAAUGAUUUCUUGGUGAUGGGCAAAGACUGGCGAAGCAUUAAAGGAAACAGUUUAGUGUGAAGUAAGAGCACCCAAAAAGAAGUCCAGGUCAAAGCAGCUAGCAUAAAAGCAUCACAAACUAUUUAUCGAUGUGCUGCUAUCCUUAUUAGUCUCUUUAAUAUGACAACUAUGUAAUUAUUUCUAUAAAUAGUUUGUAAGAAAUUUAUUCACGAGAGCACAUGAAAGUUACAAAAUUGAAUCUGAUAUGGAGUUGCUUGGUAUUUUUUAAUUAA